GCCUUGUGCCGCAGCCGCGGUAUUCCAGCUCCAUAGCGUAUAUUAAAGUUGUUGCGGUUAAAAGCUCGUAGUUGGAUCUCGGCGGGCAGGGGGUGGUUCGCUCUUCAGCGCUACUGCCCCGCUUUGCCCGUGUGAUUGGCGGAGGGUUUCGGGGUGCUCUUCGUUGAGUGACUCGGGGCGCCGUCAGGUUUACUUUGAAAAAAUUAGAGUGCUCAAAGCAGGCUUUUCACGCUUGAAUAUUCGUGCAUGGGAAUAAUGGAAUAGGAACUCGUUUCUAUUUUGUUGGUUUUCGGAAAUCGAGUUAAUGAUUAACAGGGACAAUUGGGGGGCAUUUAGGUAAUUCAGGACGACCAGAAGGUGAAAAUUCUUUGGACCCGUCUGAAAGAACUGACUACUGGCGAAAGCAUUUGCCAAGAGUGUUUUCAUUAAUCAAGAACGAAAGUUAGAGGUUCGAAGGCGAUCAGAUACCGCCCUAGUUCUAACCAUAAACGAUGCCAGCUAGCGAUCUGCCGAGUUUUUUUUGUAGGCUCCGCAGGAAGCUUUCGGGAAACCAAAGCUUUUGGGUUCCGGGGGAAGUAUGGUUGCAAAGCUGAAACUUAAAGGAAUUGACGGAAGGGCACCACCAGGAGUGGAGCCUGCGGCUUAAUUUGACUCAACACGGGAAAUCUCACCAGGCCCGGACACUGGAAGGAUUGACAGAUUGAGAGCUCUUUCUCGAUUCGGUGGGUGGUGGUGCAUGGCCGUUCUUAGUUGGUGGAGUGAUUUGUCUGGUUAAUUCCGAUAACGAACGAGACUCUGUCCUGCUAAAUAGUUGGGUCGUCCUUCGUGCGAUCCAAGUUCUUCUUAGAGGGACUGGCUGCGUCUAGCAGCACGAGAUUGAGCAAUAACAGGUCUGUGAUGCCCA
rnacentral:rRNA from 1 species